rnacentral:rRNA from 1 species
AAUGACUCUCGGCAACGGAUAUCUCGGCUCUCGCAUCGAUGAAGAACGUAGCGAAAUGCGAUACUUGGUGUGAAUUGCAGAAUCCCGUGAACCAUCGAGUCUUUGAACGCAAGUUGCGCCCGAAGCCUUUUGGCCGAGGGCACGUUUGCCUGGGUGU